rnacentral:rRNA from 1 species
UACGAAGGGUGCAAACGUUGCUCGGAAUCAUUGGGCGUAAAGCGCACGUAGGCGCCUCAAAAGUUGGAUGUGAAAUCCCUCGGCUCAACCGAGGACGUGCAUCCAAAACUGUGAGGCUUGAGUACUGAAGAGGAUCGCGGAAUUCCCGGUGUAGAGGUGAAAUUCGUAGAUAUCGGGAGGAACACCAGUGGCGAAGGCGGCGAUCUGGGCAGAUACUGACGCUGAGGUGCGAAAGCGUGGGGAGCAAACAGG